ensembl:lncRNA
AAAAUUAUGGAAGCCAGUGGUUACCAUCUACUGUCUGGUUAACAUUUAAAACAAAUUCUGCUGUGUUCAACAGAAGAAAGAAACUCAUACAGGUAUGGAACAAGUGGAGAUAAGCAUGUUGGCAAUGAAAGGUGGGACAGACACCAGAGAUGGAGUUUGGAGAAUAAUGACAGCAACAAUCACAAACUCCCUGGCCAAGAAUAUAAAUAUGCGUGGUGUUAAUGGGAAGAUCAGCUUUAAAAGCUUGCAGUUACGAAACAUUGUUCUUGGUAAGUCUGUUGUGAGCAUGACCACUUUUUUUAAAAAAAAAAUCUAAUUAAUUUAAAAUUGUACAGUCUAAAACAUGUUUUUGUAUGCCCAGUACUUCAAUUUCUACAACUGUUAUUUUAAAACUGUAUCAUAAUAUAAAGUUUAAAUUGACCAAUGCAAUAAGUAAGCAACUGUUUAAGAUUAUUAAAUGCAUUUUUUUUGGGGUGAAAAUAAGAUGUUAUGCUUUGAAUGCGUUACAUUAUCAGUACUUCAACGGUUCAUUGGUUACUGUUUACACCACAGUUUCCAUAUAUAAACAUUUUUAAGGUUUUUGUUUCCUAAAAUGGUCUUGUUUGUUAAAAUACUGUUGUCAAAGUCUGACAAGCCAGUUAGUCAAUCAAUAGUGCCACAUAAGCAAUCAUUUCCUGUAUAAAAUGUAACCAAAGCAACCUUAUUUUAAUUUGUUACCUACAUUUAUGUACAGUAGGUGGAUGAAUGUUUCUAUAUGUAUGUUAAUUUUGUAUUAUUAAUUUAGUAUUUUGUCUUUUAGCUGCUGUGAGAAAAAAUCGCCUCACACAACAUGCCACCGAUCAGGAGAUUGAAUCAACCAUUCAAAGAUGGCUUCAGCUUGCUCCUGAUCAAGAUGGAGGAAGGAGAGAGCGCUUAAGGAAAAAAGAGGCCCAAAUAGGAUCACUUUCUCCCACACACGCACAUUCUGAUGUGUAAAUUGUUUUAAUUUGCUAUAUGUUUGUUUAGAGUAAAUUAGAUUAUAAUGUUCAAAUUUCAGUACUAGAUUUCUUUUAGAUUCAUUUAGUUAGGUAGUUCAUAUAGCGUUCACACAGUUGCACAACUCUAGCUGUCCUUUCUUUUCUUUUUUUGGCUUGUGCAUUACUUAAAGGGAUAGUUCACCCAAAAAUCAAAAUUAUGUCAUUAAUGACUCACCCUCAUGUCGUUCCAAACCUAUGAGACCUCCGUU